GGUGGCUCAGUGGAAGAGUGCUUGCCUUGAAUGCAUGAGUUCCUGGGUUUGAUUCCUCAGCACCA
rnacentral:tRNA from 1 species